CGCCGCUGCUCGAGAGUUUGAUCCUGGCUCAGGACGAACGCUGGCGGCGUGCUUAACACAUGCAAGUCGAACGAUGAACCACUUCGGUGGGGAUUAGUGGCGAACGGGUGAGUAACACGUGGGCAAUCUGCCCUGCACUCUGGGACAAGCCCUGGAAACGGGGUCUAAUACCGGAUACUGACCCGCCUGGGCAUCCAGGCGGUUCGAAAGCUCCGGCGGUGCAGGAUGAGCCCGCGGCCUAUCAGCUUGUUGGUGAGGUAACGGCUCACCAAGGCGACGACGGGUAGCCGGCCUGAGAGGGCGACCGGCCACACUGGGACUGAGACACGGCCCAGACUCCUACGGGAGGCAGCAGUGGGGAAUAUUGCACAAUGGGCGCAAGCCUGAUGCAGCGACGCCUCGUGAGGGAUGACGGCCUUCGGGUUGUAAACCUCUUUCAGCAGGGAAGAAGCGCAAGUGACGGUACCUGCAGAAGAAGCGCCGGCUAACUACGUGCCAGCAGCCGCGGUAAUACGUAGGGCGCGAGCGUUGUCCGGAAUUAUUGGGCGUAAAGAGCUCGUAGGCGGCUUGUCGCGUCGGUUGUGAAAGCCCGGGGCUUAACCCCGGGUCUGCAGUCGAUACGGGCAGGCUAGAGUUCGGUAGGGGAGAUCGGAAUUCCUGGUGUAGCGGUGAAAUGCGCAGAUAUCAGGAGGAACACCGGUGGCGAAGGCGGAUCUCUGGGCCGAUACUGACGCUGAGGAGCGAAAGCGUGGGGAGCGAACAGGAUUAGAUACCCUGGUAGUCCACGCCGUAAACGGUGGGCACUAGGUGUGGGCGACAUUCCACGUCGUCCGUGCCGCAGCUAACGCAUUA
rnacentral:rRNA from 1 species